GAGACAAGACGGAUGGACAACACCAACUUCUGCCAGUGAGCCCUUGCUGAACAAGUUUGGGUUCCAUACCUCUGCACACCACCUUUCUAUGAAGACUUUGGAGAAGCCAGCAACAAAUUAAGGACAUUUCAAUAAUGUACUGGCUGCAUCCUUUACAAACUCACAAUCCCUCUGUAUCUGUCUCUCAACCACUGUAUUACCUGUCACUAAAUGGCUCUCUUUCUCCCUCCCUCCCUCACUCUCUCUCACACACACAAACUCUCUCUCUCUCUCUCUCUCUCUCUCUCUCUCUCUCUCUCGUACAUUUAUCUUGGCA